GGAGAUGAUGCUACCUUUUGACACCCAGUCUUACUUGCAUCCAUAGAUGCAAAAUGGUGAUAAUGAUUAAACUUGUCUGAUCC